rnacentral:tRNA from 1 species
GCCCGGAUGGCGGAAUGGUAGACGCUCCAGACUUAAAAUCUGUUUUCCGCAAGGAAGUGCCGGUUCGAGUCCGGCUCCGGGCACCA